rnacentral:rRNA from 1 species
GAUGAACGCUGGCGGCGUGCUUAACACAUGCAAGUCGAACGGAAAGGCCUCGGCUUGCAGGGGUACUCGAGUGGCGAACGGGUGAGUAACACGUGGGUGAUCUGCCCUGCACUUCGGGAUAAGCCUGGGAAACUGGGUCUAAUACCGGAUAUGACAAUGUUUUGGAUGCUGUUGUGGAAAGUUUUUCGGUGUGGGAUGAGCUCGCGGCCUAUCAGCUUGUUGGUUGGGUAAUGGCCUACCAAGGCGUCGACGGGUAGCCGGACUGAGAGGGUGUACGGCCACCUUGGGACUGAGAUACGGCACAGACACCGACGGGAGGGAGCAGUAGGGAAUAUUGAACAAUGGGCGCAAGGCUGAUGCAGCGACGCCGCGUGGCGGAUGACGGCGUUCGUGUUGUAGACUGCUGGCGAUAGGGAAGAAGCGUUUUUGUGACGGUACCUGGAGAAGAAGCACCGGCUAACUACGUG